rnacentral:sRNA from 1 species
CUGGCUUGCUGUAUUUCUGCGACGGUGGUACACAGACCAUUGAAGUCAUGAACACUGACGGCAGCAACCGUAAAGUUCUCUACACGGACUUUGGCUCUCAUUUCUUCGGCAUUACAUUGACAUCCAAGUACAUUUUCUACAGUGACUGGAACAAGUUUGGCAUCAUGAGACUAAACAGAGAUGGAACCAAUCAGACUCCAGCAGGCCCUGAAAGUUUCCGAAAAAUCAAUGGACUCUAUGCCUACGAGUCUUCAUACACACAAUGAAAAUGACAAUACUGUAGUUGAUGACUUUUGCGGUUCUUACUUUGGCUAUAUCGCAGGUCUUAAAAAAAAAUUAUUAAAGAAAAAAA